rnacentral:rRNA from 1 species
UACGUAGGGUGCAAGCGUUGUCCGGAAUUACUGGGCGUAAAGGGCUCGUAGGCGGCCAACUAAGUCGGAUGUGAAAUCCCCAGGCUUAACCUGGGAACUGCAUCCGAUACUGGAUGGCUUGAAUCCGGGAGAGGGAUGCAGAAUUCCAGGUGUAGCGGUGAAAUGCGUAGAUAUCUGGAGGAAUACCGGUGGCGAAGGCGGCAUCCUGGACCGGCAUUGACGCUGAGUGAGCGAAAGCCAGGGGAGCAAACGGG